AGGGCUGUAGCUCAGUCGGAGAGCAUUGGCCUUGUAUGCAGGAGGUUCCUAGGUCAAUUCCUGGCACCUCCA